rnacentral:rRNA from 1 species
AUUGGGGCAAUAGAAAAUGAAAUGAAUCAUUUUUUUUAUUAUAAGGAUCCAGUUUUGACUGAAAAAAGCAAAAGCUACCGCGGGGAUAACAGGGUAAUUUUUUCUGAGAGUUCAUAUUUAAGAAGAAGUUUGCU